AGAGGGGGCAAGCGUUGCUCGGAAUCACUGGGCGUAAAGGGCGCGUAGGCGGGAUGGCAAGUCGGUCGUGAAAUCCCUGGGCUCAACUCAGGGGGGUCGGCCGAUACUGCCGUUCUUGAGGGAUGCAGAGGAGACUGGAAUUCCCGGUGUAGCGGUGAAAUGUGUAGAGAUCGGGAGGAACACCGGUGGCGAAGGCGGGUCUCUGGGCAUUCCCUGACGCUGAGGCGCGAAAGCGUGGGGAGCAAACGGGAUUAGAUACCCCGGUAGUCCACGCGGUAAACGAUGACGACUAGGUGUGGGGGGGUUAAGUCCCUUCCGUGCCGCAGCUAACGCAUUAAGUCGUCCGCCUGGGGAGUACGGCCGCAAGGUUGAA
rnacentral:rRNA from 1 species